rnacentral:rRNA from 1 species
CAUGGAGGGUGAGAAUCCCGUCUUUGACACGGACUACCAGGGCUUUGUGAUGCACUCUCAAAGAGUCGAGUUGUUUGGGAAUGCAGCUCCAAAUGGGAGGUAAAUUUCUCCUAAGGCUAAAUAUUGGCGAGAGACCGAUAGCGAACAAGUACCGUGAGGGAAGGAUGAAAAGAACUUUGAAAAGAGAGUUAAACAGUACGUGAAAUUGUUGAAAGGGAAACGAUUAAAGUCAGUCAUACCUUCGAGGAAUCAACCUUUUUGGUGCGAAUCUUGUGGGUUUUGAGGAGCCUUAACAUGGGGCCUUCGGGUUCGCAAAUUUGUGGCAUUUGGGCGUACUUUCUCGUAUGGUAGGUUAACAUCGAUUUUGAUCUCUACAAAAUGAUCGGAGGAACGUAGCUUCGGACUCGUUUCGAAGUGUUAUAGCCUUUGGUAGAUGUAAUGAACAGGAUCGAGGAUUGCAACGAAUACCCAUCAGGGCUAUCCGUCUGAUCUCUGACACGUUGUCCCGAUGUCGAAAGCGUGCUUACGAUGUUGAGAUAUUACGGUCAAUAGGUUAGAACGAGAUUACAUUCGUUAAGGAUGUUGACGUAAUGG